rnacentral:rRNA from 1 species
CCUACGGGAGGCUGCAGUGAGGAAUAUUGGUCAAUGGACGGAAGUCUGAACCAGCCAUGCCGCGUGCAGGAAGACGGCUCUCUGAGUUGUAAACUGCUUUUGUGCAAGGGUAAACCUGAAUACGUGUAUUCAGCUGAAAGUACUGUACGAAUAAGGAACGGCAAACCCCGUGCCAGCAGCCGCGGUAAUACGGAGGGUACAAGCGUUAUCCGGUUUGAUUGGGUUUAAAGGGUGCGUAGGCGGAUUGAUAAGUUAGAGGUGAAAUGUACGGGAUUAACUCGGGAACUGCCUCUAAUACGGUUGAUCUAGAGAGUAGAGGCGGUAGGCGGAAUGUAUGGGGUAGCGGUGAAAUGCU